GAUGAACGCUGGCGGCGUGCCUAAUACAUGCAAGUCGAGCGAACAGACGAGGAGCUUGCUCCUCUGACGUUAGCGGCGGACGGGUGAGUAACACGUGGAUAACCUACCUAUAAGACUGGGAUAACUUCGGGAAACCGGAGCUAAUACCGGAUAAUAUAUUGAACCGCAUGGUUCAAUAGUGAAAGACGGUUUUGCUGUCACUUAUAGAUGGAUCCGCGCCGCAUUAGCUAGUUGGUAAGGUAACGGCUUACCAAGGCAACGAUGCGUAGCCGACCUGAGAGGGUGAUCAGCCACACUGGAACUGAGACACGGUCCAGACUCCUACGGGAGGCAGCAGUAGGGAAUCUUCCGCAAUGGGCGAAAGCCUGACGGAGCAACGCCGCGUGAGUGAUGAAGGUCUUCGGAUCGUAAAACUCUGUUAUUAGGGAAGAACAAAUGUGUGAGUAACUAUGCACGUCUUGACGGUACCUAAUCAGAAAGCCACGGCUAACUACGUG
rnacentral:rRNA from 1 species